UCCAACGCGCCCUACUGACUUCCCACUGGUCAGUGACAACUUGUCGUUCGUUGAGUGGACUUUGAUUCGUCAAUACGGUGUUUAUUACUUUCACGUGUCAUCAAUUCUUUUUCUUUCUCGUUUCCGGUCCACUGUUUUCACAUACGCAGUGCGAUUACACAACUUAUUGCUACAGUUCAUGUUCAUAUACUCAACCAACGUUUUAUAAAUGCUGUGAAAUACGAGGGAAUUCAAGUGCUGAAUAUAGGUUAGGUUUCGAACGGAUUGUACGAUUUCCAAUUAACAACGCAAACCAGAUAUCGCUGAAACGUUAGUUAACAAAAGGAAGGAAAGUCUCCAAGUUGACGAAGAAGGCUGCUGGAGCUGCAGUUUCGACUAUACGUACAUGGUGACCGUAUAAAUCACGUCCAUACACGAGAUGAAGCUCAGCGGCUCGACUGACCGCCCCGUUUUCUGAUUUACGACCCGAACUUCGUCCCCAGUCUUAUCUUCCUAGAUAUUUUCGCCGGUGAAAAACCAUCCACGCCAGCUUACUCGAAAAUUACUCGCACGCAAAUAUCUUGAUUUUCCC